rnacentral:lncRNA from 1 species
AGUCAGAACCAACCUUGCAUUACAUUAAGUCAAUCAAGACCAACACAAACCACACGCAUUACAAAGUAGAAGAUGCAUUUUAUACAUCCAUGAGAACUGCAUGCAUAGCUGCAUACGCCACUGCCCCUCUCACAGGCUCAUCACUCACUACAUGAUAAAGCUACAUCCAAGAUACGUAUAAAUAUAUAUAUAUUGGCACACAAAUAUUUAUGUAUACAUAAAUAUUUGUAUACAUGCAUAUUAAGUUGAUCGAUUUCGCGUCGAUCUGAAGCCUGCGUGGCUUGGAGUACUUCGCCGUCAUGUCUGCGGCCCGUUGGCUCUGCACGCGGGAAAACACACGUACGAUGAGAAUCAGCAAGAUCAGGAACGCGUCGCGCGGGAUGAUCGCUAUAAUCCUCGCUACGUUUUGGCGCGAAUAAUACCUGCUCCUGUUCUGGUUGCUGCUGCUGUUGC